rnacentral:ncRNA from 2 species
AAGGUUCGACACGGGAGUCCUGAAACGUCGCUGUCACUUUUUGUCGUGACUGCGAGGUUCGUGGGGCUGAGAGGGGAUCGCGACCAGAUCCCGACCGUCAGACCUGACCCGGAUCAUGCCGGCGCAGGAAGUGGAGGUGGAGUUUCG